CAGCUUCCCCGGCCCCUCCGCCGCGCAGGUGACCCAGCGCCAGGUGAGCCCCGCGGGGGCACCUGUGGAGCCCGUCCCGCCUCUGCCGGCGGCUCCUCGGGCACCGGGACCGCGGGGAACGCUCGGGGGACGCUCGGGGGACGGGUCCGGCCUCCCCCGGCCCUGGCUCUGGGGCCGAGGGGGUUCCUGGCCGUAUCCCGGAGGGAUCCCGGCAGGAUGCCGCCAUCAGCACCACGGACAGCGCCCGGCGGCUCCUCCGGGCAGGGCUGGACCGGGACACGACCCGGGCAUCCCUGACCGGGCACCGGCACCCGCCCGGACCCUCCCCGGAGAUCAACGGCAGGUCCCCGAGGCGACGCUGGACUGUCCCCGGGCCAGGCAGGUGCCAGGAAAAGCCCGGGGCAGACGGGAGCGCGAGCGGUGCCGGAGGGACACGAGCGGCACUCAGGAGCAGGGACGGGGCUGCAGGCAAGCUGUGCUGAAGCCAGGAAUGGACUGACAGAGGAAUCCCCAGGGCCCCAGCAGGAUGCAUUAACAGUGUGUCUCUCUGGUGAGCCGUGAUGGGAAGAGCACGGAGCAAAAAAGAAGAGAGAACCCGAAGAGCAGGUCUCUGGAAGGAUCCAGGCUGACAGCAAUAUUGCCAUCUGAGUGAAGAGAACUCAGACACACAUAAUCCUCGGGAAAAUUCAUCUCCACCCUCCCGCAGACCCCGCUCUCCAGUCCCUCUGCCUUUCUCUCUCUCCACCUUCCCUCUGAUUGCCGAGCAGCUUUUUGACUUUUCCAUCAAUAAGUCUAAAGAGCAUUUGAAGCGCUCUGAAGCCCCUUUUCUCCUCCCUCCCAGUUCCAAGUCAGGCGAGCUCAUCGAUCAGAGGAGCUCAGGAAAUAUCUGGUGUUUUGUUGUCAGGCUGAUAAUAACAUUGCAGUUGUGAAUGGGCUGCUGCAGGCCUGAUCAUGGACACCUGCAGGGUUUGUUUAAUUGCAUUUAAUGACAAAUCCUAUACAGAGGAGCAUUGCCAGAGAGAUUUAUUAUCCACCAAAGAGGCAAAGCACAACAGCUCAAAAUAUAAUUUGCACUGAGCCUUUUUCCCCCUGCCUCUCUUUAAAGCAGUGUAAUAAAUGGCAAAUCGGGUAAAGUGGGCACCACGGGUCUGGGGAGGAGGUGGGGGCAGAGGACAGAGAUUGAAACCAAAGGAAAUAACAGCAAUAAGGCCACAUUGUUCUCUCUGCCAUCCCUGUGGUCUGGUCUAGAGGAAACACUGUUUGUUUAAUUUACAGCCUGGAAGUGCAGCUGGGGAUCUCUCGGUGAUGAGCCUGUUCUGGCACAGCUGGGGGCCAAAAGUCCCCGCUCCUUCCAACCAGGCUUUUCCCCCCGUGCUCUGCAGCUAAGUUGAGCUCCCAUCCAUACAAACAAUUACCAAGGAACUCCAGCAGCCUCCCAGCUGCCACUGGUACGAGGAGCCGGGAGCUUCCACAUCCCUGAAAUCUCUGGGACAAAGCAGAGGUGUCCUGAAAAAUAUCACGGUGAGAAAUAUGGCCCCACGGAGACAGAUCCCACGAGCUGGAGUCUAGACAUUGCACGACUCUGAGCCUGGAAUUUAUGCUUCCUACUAAAUACCCUGCUCUUAAAAGGGAAUGGCUGAGUGUAAAACCACAAGAAGAGUUCAGGUCUCGCUCAUACUUCUUUUGUCUUGAUUUUUAUGUGAUUUUCUAGCAAUGAUUUGUGGUAAAUCCCUUCCUGCAGCUGGUGUGUCACUGUGCAGUGUCACUCCAGAACGAGGACUGAAAAGUGUCCUUGUCACCUGAAAUUACAGUCCAGGUUAGCACUUCCCAAACUGUCUCCUCUCUCCAGUUCAUCCAUCUGUACAAUUCCUCCUCUCUUCUAAUUAGCCUGGGCAGAAGAGUGAAUUGUCCUGAAUUUUUAUUUCUAAAUCAUCUCACUCCCCAAAUGUUUUCGUUAGAGACCUCUCUGUGGGAGGGCAGAGAGGAAAAUGUGUGAUGGUUUAAGUGAAAUUCUUCAGUUUAGGACAUCCAAGAGUGAUCUUAUAUUCAGUGUGAAGCUCACUUGAUAUUCAGCUUAGGAUCAUGGAAUAUCCUGAGUUGGAAGGGACCCACAAGGAUCAUCCAAGUCCAACUCCUGGUUAAAUUUUUCCCUUUCAAUGGUGCACCCCGAGAAGUUUGGGGGUGAUGGGGAUCCUGUACAAGAACCCCCCCCUCUGCAGUGCUGCUCUGGGGCUCAGUGCAGGCAGCAGUUGGUACUGUCCUUACACAAACACGGUGUUGGGUAACACCUGGACCCAGUUUUAUCUGAUUUCCUGGACAAUGGUGGUAUCACUAAUGCUCCCUGUUAAAUAAGACCACCUGGACAUCUCCUGGUAUCAGCUCCAGUUAUCACAAACACUCUUGCUACCUAGGCCAGCACAAAGGACUCUUAUCUCCAGAGCAGCACAAAUCCCCUGACUGAAACAACCCAUCUGGAGUUUGAUUAAAGUGCCCAUAGAAAGCACAUAUGUUAAAGAAAAAAAGGGAGGGAGGAAGGGAGGGAUGGGGCUGCUCUCUGUGAGCUCACACAGGGCACAACCCCUGUCAAGAGCAGGAAACCCUCUCCUGUUGCUCCACACUCUUUCUCCUCCCAUGAAAGGAGCAGCAGCUCCUGAGGGAUAGUUUUUGUUUCUUUCCCUUUCAUUUAUUUUUUUUUUGUGCCAC